GCAUCCUUAGCUCAGUUGGAUAGAGCAGCAGCCUUCUAAGCUGAUGGUCACAGGUUCGAGUCCUGUAGGAUGUA
rnacentral:tRNA from 1 species